CUGUAAUUGGAAUGAGUACACUUUAAAUCCUUUAACAAGGACCUAUUGGAGGGCAAGUCUGGUGCCAGCAGCCGCGGUAACUCCAGCUCCAAUAGCGUAUAUUAAAGUUGUUGCGGUUAAAACGUUCGUAGUUGAACUUGUGCUUCAUACGGGUAGUACAACUAUAAUUGUAGUCUGUACUAUACCUUAUGUAUGUAAGCGUAUUAUCGGUGGAGUUCUUAUAUGCAAAUACUCUAUUUUCCUCCUAUUUAAACCUGCUUCAGUGCUCUUCAUUGCGUGCUGUUGUAGGCCGGUACAAUUACUUUGAACAAAUUAGAGUGCUUAAAGCAGGCUCCAAAUGCCUGAAUAUUUUGUGCAUGGAAUAAUGAAAUAAGACCUCUGUUCUACUUUCAUUGGUUUUUAGAUCAAGAGGUAAUGAUUAAUAGAAGCAGUUUGGGGGCAUUAGUAUUACGACGCGAGAGGUGAAAUUCUUGGACCGUCGUAAGACUAACUUAAGCGAAAGCAUUUGCCAAAGAUGUUUUCAUUAAUCAAGAACGAAAGUUAGAGGUUCGAAGGCGAUCAGAUACCGCCCUAGUUCUAACCAUAAACGAUGCCAGCUAGCAAUUGGGUGUAGCUACUAUUAUGGCUCUCUCAGUCGCUUCCCGGGAAACCAAAGCUUUUGGGCUCCGGGGGAAGUAUGGUUGCAAAGCUGAAACUUAAAGGAAUUGACGGAAGGGCACCACCAGGAGUGGA
rnacentral:rRNA from 1 species